AACGAACGCUGGCGGCAUGCCUAACACAUGCAAGUCGAACGAGACCUUCGGGUCUAGUGGCGCACGGGUGCGUAACGCGUGGGAACCUGCCCUUAGGUUCGGAAUAACUCCCCGAAAGGGGUGCUAAUACCGGAUAAUGUCUUCGGACCAAAGAUUUAUUGCCUUUGGAUGGGCCCGCGUUGGAUUAGCUAGUUGGUAGGGUAAAAGCCUACCAAGGCGACGAUCCAUAGCUGGUUUGAGAGGAUGAUCAGCCACACUGGGACUGAGACACGGCCCAGAAUCCUACGGGAGGCAGGAGUGGGGAAUAUUGGACAAUGGGGGAAGGCCUGAUCCAGCAAUGCCGCGUAAGUGAUGAAGGCCUUAGGGAUGUAAAGCUCUUUUACCCGGGAUGAUAAUGACGGUACCGGGAGAAUAAGCUCCGGCUAACUACGUG
rnacentral:rRNA from 1 species